GGUUCCUCUGGUUAUUUCUAUCAUUUGGGUCUGUUAUUUCAUUUGAUUCCCUCUCUCAGGUUUGUUCAACGAUCUAAAGGUAUACAUCUACGAUCUCCCCUGAAAUACAACAGUGACUAGCUGGCAAACGAGCAGUGCAGUAAGCAUCUGUUCGCUGCAGAAGUCGCUAUACACAAGGCUCUAUUGAGUAGUGAUGUAAGGACGCUCGAUCCAUCGGAAGCCGAUUUCUUCUUUGUUCCAGUUUACAUUUCCUGCAACUUCAGUUCUGGAAAUGGGAUCCCGA